AUUGAACGCUGGCGGAAUGCUUUACACAUGCAAGUCGAACGGCAGCACGGACUUCGGUCUGGUGGCGAGUGGCGAACGGGUGAGUAAUAUAUCGGAACGUGCCCAGUCGUGGGGGAUAACGUAGCGAAAGUUACGCUAAUACCGCAUACGAUCUACGGAUGAAAGCGGGGGAUCGCAAGACCUCGCGCGAUUGGAGCGGCCGAUAUCAGAUUAGGUAGUUGGUGGGGUAAAGGCUCACCAAGCCAACGAUCUGUAGCUGGUCUGAGAGGACGACCAGCCACACUGGAACUGAGACACGGUCCAGACUCCUACGGGAGGCAGCAGUGGGGAAUUUUGGACAAUGGACGCAAGUCUGAUCCAGCCAUUCCGCGUGCAGGAUGAAGGCCCUCGGGUUGUAAACUGCUUUUGUACAGAACGAAAAGGCUCUUCCUAAUACGGAGGGCCCAUGACGGUACUGUAAGAAUAAGCACCGGCUAACUACGUGCCAGCCGCCGCAGUAA
rnacentral:rRNA from 1 species